rnacentral:rRNA from 1 species
CCUACGGGAGGCAGCAGUAAGGAAUAUUGGUCAAUGGACGCAAGUCUGAACCAGCCAUGCCGCGUGAAGGAUUAAGGUCCUCUGGAUUGUAAACUUCUUUUAUCUGGGACGAAAAAAGGCGAUUCUUCGUCACUUGACGGUACCAGAUGAAUAAGCACCGGCUAACUCCGUGCCAGCAGCCGCGGUAAUACGGAGGGUGCAAGCGUUAUCCGGAUUCACUGGGUUUAAAGGGUGCGUAGGCGGGCAGGUAAGUCAGUGGUGAAAUCCUAGAGCUUAACUCUAGAACUGCCAUUGAUACUAUCUGUCUUGAAUAUUGUGGAGGUAAGCGGAAUAUGUCAUGUAGCGGUGAAAUGCUUAGAUAUGACAUAGAACACCUAUUGCGAAGGCAGCUUACUACGCAUAUAUUGACGCUGAGGCACGAAAGCGUGGGGAUCAAACAGGAUUAGAUACCCUGGUAGUCCACGCCCUAAACGAUGAUUACUCGACAUUUGUGAUACACUAUAAGUGUCUGAGCGAAAGCAUUAAGUAAUCCACCUGGGAAGUACGACCGCAAGGUUGAAACUCAAAGGAAUUGACGGCGNGAGAGNGCGAGGACGACACGAGGGGAGGAGG